rnacentral:lncRNA from 1 species
GCCGCGCUCCGGCUGCAGCGGCGGCGAGGGGGAAAGGGGCGCGGGAUACCUGGCGGUGGGGGUCGGGGGGUGUGGGGCGCCGCCCGCGCGAGCAGGUGCGCGGGGGCCGACCGGGGGACACCGGGGUGCCUCUCUGCAGCCGCGCGGGCCGGGAGGUCGGGGCAACCCGGCGGCGCCGCCCUGCGCUCCGCCCGCCGCCGCUGCUGCCCCGGGGCACAGCCUCCUCCGGGCCGAACUGUCCCGCGGCGAACUGGAGCCCCGGCUCCCCGCUCGCUUCGGCCGCACUCUGCCUUCCUUCCUUCUCGUCUCCCCGGGCCGCGGGCUUCCCUUCCAGGGCUGGAGAGUGGCCGGCGAGGAGGCGGCGGUGCUGUGUUUUUAGUCCUUGACCGAGUGUUCGUACCCGCUGCCGCGAGGCCCCUCCGUUCUGGAGGGCGGCACGGGCGGCGGCGGCCGAGGAGCCAUGGGGCGGAGGGGGAGCGGAGGCGGCUGGGCCCGGCCCGGGAGCGCUCGCCUGCUCUCCCUGGCGGUGCCCUGUGCCCGCAGCUGCGGCGCCCGGAGCCCGCGAUCUGCCGCCAGGCGCAGAAGUUCCGCGGUCCACGUGCGGCCGAGACGCGUUUGUUUAUGGCGGACCCGCCUUCGGGCGGAGCGCUCGGGCGCCGCGGCCCGGGGAAGUGGGGAGGGGGGGCGGAAAGAGGCGGGGAGGAGGGACCGCGGCGGGGGCGGGGGCGGCCAACCUCGCCUCCAGACCCCGCCGCGGCCCCGGAGUCACAGGCGCGCCUCCGCCUCCAGGGACUCUCCCGGGAGAGACCCGCGCGCUCCGGGCCUCGAGGAAGUGGCGGUUUCUGCUCUCACCUUCUGCUCUGCCUGCUUUGCCUGAGUCUGGGGACUCCACAAAUGGAAGAUUUGGAGACAAAAGUAUUUAGAAAAGAAGUGUACUUGAAAAAAAUCUGUUAAGAAUCUUCAUGGGCUAGAAGGAUUAGAUCAUCAAAAAAAAAAAGAAUACAGGUAUCUAAAG